UACGAAGGGGGCUAGCGUUGCUCGGAAUUACUGGGCGUAAAGCGCACGUAGGCGGCUUCUUAAGUCGGUGGUGAAAUCCUGGAGCUCAACUCCAGAACUGCCUUCGAUACUGGGAGCUCGAGUCCGGGAGAGGUGAGUGGAACGUGCGAGUGUAGAGGUGAAAUUCGUAGAUAUUCGCAAGAACACCAGUGGCGAAGGCGGCUCACUGGCCCGGUACUGACGCUGACGGUGCGAAAGCGUGGGGAGCAAACAGGG
rnacentral:rRNA from 1 species